AUGAAAUCCUCUAGGUUGCUCAUGCUUUUCACAGAAUACCUUCUUUGUCUUUAUUGGGUUUAUGGAUACUACAGACAACAGAGAAAACUUGUUGAAGAGAUUGGCUGGUCCUAUACAGGAGCAUUGAAUCAAAAAAAUUGGGGAAAGAAAUAUCCAACAUGUAAUAGCCCCAAACAGUCUCCUAUCAAUAUUGAUGAAGAUCUUACACAAGUAAAUGUGAAUCUUAAGAAACUUAAAUUUCAGGAUUGGGAUAAAACAUCUUUGGAAAACACAUUCAUUCAUAACACUGGGAAAACAGUGGAAAUUAAUCUCACUAAUGACUACCGUCUCAGUGGAGGGGUUUCAGAAACAGUGUUCAAAGCAAGCAAGAUAGCUUUUCACUGGGGAAAAUGCAAUAUGUCAUCUGAUGGAUCAGAACAUAGUUUAGAAGGGCAAAAAUUUCCACUAGAGAUGCAGAUCUACUGCUUUGAUGCAGACCGAUUUUCAAGUUUUGAAGAAGCAAUUAAAGGAAAAGGGAAGUUAAGAGCUUUAUCCAUUUUAUUUGAGGUUGGAAUAGAAGAAAAUUUGGACUACAAAGCAAUUAUAGAUGGAGUGGAGAGGGUUAGUCGUUUUGGGAAACAGGCUGCGCUGGAUCCAUUCACAUUGCUAAACCUUCUGCCAAACUCAACGGACAAGUAUUACACUUACAAUGGCUCCCUGACAUCGCCUCCCUGCACAGACACCGUUGACUGGAUUAUUUUUAAAGAUACAGUUAGCAUUUCUGAAAGCCAGUUGGCUGUUUUCUGUGAAGUUCUUACAAUGCAACAGUCUGGUUAUGUCAUGUUGAUGGACUACUUACAAAAUAAUUUUCGAGAACAACAGUACAAGUUCUCCAGGCAGGUGUUUUCCUCAUAUACUGGAAAGGAAGAGAUUCAUGAAGCAGUUUGUAGUUCAGAACCAGAAAAUGUUCAAGCUGACCCAGAGAAUUAUACUAGCCUUCUUGUUACAUGGGAGAGACCUCGAGUAGUUUAUGAUACCAUGAUCGAGAAGUUUGCCGUUCUGUACCAGCAGUUGGAGGGAGAAGACCAAACCAAGCAUGAGUUUUUGACAGAUGGCUAUCAAGAUUUGGGUGCUAUUCUUAAUAAUUUACUACCCAAUAUGAGUUAUGUUCUUCAAAUAGUAGCCAUAUGCACUAAUGGCUUAUAUGGAAAAUACAGUGACCAGCUGAUUGUGGACAUGCCUUCUGAUGACCCUGAACUUGACCUCUUUCCCGAAUUAAUUGGAACUGAAGAAAUAAUCAAGGAAGAAGAAGAGGGAAAGGACAUGGAAGGAGACACUGUUGUGAAUCCUGGUAGAGACGGUGCCACAAACCAGAUCAGGAGAAAGGAACCCCAGAUUUCUACCACAACAAAUUACAACCGAGUGGGGACCAAAUACAACGAGGCCAAGACUAACCGCUCCCCAGCAAGAGGAAGCGGGUUCUCUGGAAAGAGUGAUAUUCCCAACACAUCUUUAGAUUCCACCUCCCAGCCAGUCACUGAAUUAGACCCAGAAAAAGACGUUCUUUCGACUUCACGGACUGUGACCCAGCCUCCCCCUCUCACUCUGGCAGGCACUUCAGCCUCUUCAAGUGACGCCUCUAAAACCAUUCUCCGAUUUCCACAGAUGAACUUGUCCGGGACGGUGGAAUAUUCAGAUACAGUGUCCACGACGGAAUCGCAAGAGGUAUCUACUGAUAUCAGUGAGGAAGAGAGUUUAUUGACCAGUUUCAAGCUCGAUCCAGGAGCCGAUGAUUCUUCCGGUUCCAGUCCCGCAACUUCCGCUGUGCCAUUCGUCUCCGAGAACACAUCCCCUGGCGAUGUAUUAUUUCCUUCAGAAAACCCAGAGGCCGUCACAUACGAUGUCUUUAUCCCAGAAUCUGCGAGAAAUGCUUCAGAAGAUUCCGCCUCCUCAGGUUCAGAAGAAUCUCUCAAGGAUCCUUCCGUUGAUGGAAAUAUGUGGUUUCCUAGUACAACAGACGUGACGACGAUGCCCGAUGUCGGGUCAGGUAGAGAGAGCUUUCUCCAGACUAAUUACACCGACGUGGAUAGUGACGAAUCUGAGAAGACAACAGAAUCCUCUCCUCCAGGCCCACUGCCGUCACAGGGCCCCUCGGUCUCAGAUGUGCGAAUGCCACAGUAUUCUACCUUUGCAUACUUCCCCACUGAGGUGACACCUCACGCUUUUACUCCGUCCUCCGGACAACACCAUUCGGUCCCCACCGUCAACGUGGUACACGCGCAGACAACUCAACCAGUGUACAAUGGUGAGGCACCUCUCCAACCUUCCUACAGUAGUGAAGUCUUUCCUCUAGUCACCCCCUUGUUGCUUGACAACCAGACCCUCAACACUACCCCUGCUGCUUCAAGUAGUGAUUGGGCCUUGCAUGCUACACCUGUAUUUCCCAGUGUCGGUGUGUCCUUCGAAUCCAUCCUGUCUUCCUCUGAUGGUGCGCCUUUGCUCCCAUUUUCCUCCGCUUCCUCCAGUAGUGAAUUGCUUCACCGUGUGUAUACGAUCUCUCAGAUCCUUCCGCAAAUUACUGCAGCUCUUGAGAGCGAUCAGGGGUCCCUGCAUGUUUCUCUGCCGGUGGCUGGGGGUGAUUUGCUAUUAGAGCCCAGCCUUGCUCCGUAUUCUGAUGCCAUGUCGCAUCAGAUCACUACGCGUGCUGCUUCGGAGACCUUGGAAUUUGGUGCUAGCAAGCCUGCUGUCCUUUAUCAAACGCUUAUGUUUUCUCCAGCUGAAGCAUCCAGCAGUGAUGUCCUGAUGCAUGCACGUUCUUCAGGGCCUGAACCUUAUGCCUUAACUAAUGAGGAGGGCUCCCAACACCUCUUCAGGGUUUCUGACAGUUCUGCGGUACCUGGGCGUGAUUCUGUUCAGGGUUCUUUAUCUAGCAGCCCUAGUCACCACCUACCGAUGCCCGAGUCUCCCUUAGUAACCCCAAGCGCAUCGUUGCUGCAGCCCACUCAGGGCGUCUCAGGUGAUGGGGAGUGGUCUGGAGCCUCCUCUGAUAGUGAAUUUUUUGUGCCUGACACAGAUGGUCUGACAGCCCUUAAUAUGUCUUCACCCGUUUCUGUAGCUGAGUUUACAUAUCCAACCUCUAUGUCUGGUGACAAUAACAAGCUACUUUCUAAAAGUGACACAAUACACGGAGAGGAGACAGAACGGCACAUUUCUUCUUUCAGUGACCUGGUUUACCCCUCUGAAAGCACAGUCAUGCCUGACCUGUAUGAUCAUGUAAAUACAUUGAAUGCCUCUUUACAAGAAUCCUCUGCUUCCACUUCUAGCCCAGAGGGCAUCCUCCCAGAGCUUCUUGUUUUAACUGCCACUAAGGUUUAUGAUCAUGAGAUUAGUCAAAUUCCAGAAAGUAACUUUCCGGUUCAGUCUUCACACGCUGUAUUUCAAGCAUUUGGUGACACUUCGCUUAAAUCUGCACACUCAGAGCCAGCAUCCUCUGACCCUACUUCUAGUGAAAUGUUAUCUCCUUCAACUCAGCUCUUAGUUUAUGAGCCCUCAGCUUCUUUUAGUACUGAAGUAUUGCUGCAACCUUCCUUUCAGGCUUCUGGUAUUGACUUGUUGCUUAAAACUGAUCUGCCAGCUAUGCCUAGUGACCCAAUAGUGGUUGAAACCCCCAAGGUUGAGCACAUUAGUUCUACAGUAUCACAUCUCGUGGCAUCCAAUGCCGCUUCAAGGGAAAAUACGCUGCACUCUACAUCUGUACCAAUCUCUGAUGUAUCACCUACUCCUAAUACGCACGCUGCUUCACUUCAAGCUUUAACCAUUUCUUAUGCAAGUGAGAAAUAUUCUGAACCAGUUUUGCAUAAAAGCGAAAGUUCCCACCAAACAGUACCUUCAUUGUCCAAUAAUGAUGAGUUGUUCCAAACUGCCAAUUUGGAGCUUAACCAGGUCUUUCCUCCAGAAGGAAGGCAUGCAUUUGCAACUCCUGUUUUAUCAGUUGUACCACCAGAUACGCUUAUAAGUAAGCUUGUUUAUUCUGAUGAAGUCUUCACCUCCACCAAGGGCCCAGUCACCGAUGAGGUAUUGGCUGGUAUUCCUACAGUUGUUUCUGAUCCAGUUGUAACUGCUGAUCCUUCUGUCCCUUUAGGAAAUGUGUAUGUUUCCAUUUCAGCCAUUUCUCCAAACAAGGAUGGUUCUGUAACCACAACCGAGUUGCUGUUUCCUUCUAGAACAACUUCUGAGCCAAUUCAAAGUGCCCGAUCUGAUGCCAGUUUGGUGGGUGGUGGUGACGAUGGUGAUAUUGAUGAUUACGGUGAUGAUUAUUAUGAUGACAGAGAUAAAGAUGGCUUAUCUAUCAAUAGGUGUAUGUCAUGCUUCUCCUAUAGAGAAUCACAGGAAAAGGUAAUGAAUGACUCAGACACCCAGCAGAACAGUUCUGUGGAUCAGAAUAACCCAAUCUCAUAUGCACUAUCUGAGAAUUCUGAAGAAGGAAAUAAAAUCACAGGUGUUAUAUCAGACAAUCAGACUGAUAUGGACAGAAGUCCUGAUAAAUCACCACCAACAAAUGUGCCAGCCCAGAAGCACAAUGAUGGAAAACAGGAAAAUGAUGUUCAGACUAACAAUGCCCUGCUUCCUUUCAGCCCAGAAUCUAAAGCUUGGGCAGUUCUUACAAGUGAUGAAGAGAGUGGAUCAGGGCAAGGUGCCUCAGAUAGCCUUAAUGAUAACGAGACUUCCACAGAUUUCAGUUUUCCUGAUAUUAAUGAAAAAGAUGGUGAUGGGGUACUGGAAACAGGUGACUCAGAAAUAACUCCUGGAUCCCCACAGUCCUCAACACCGACUAUUACUAGCGGGCAUUCAGAAGUGUUCAACAUUUCAGAGGCAGAGGCCAGUAAUAGUAGCCAUGAGUCUCGUAUUGGUCUAGCUGAGGGGCUGGAAUCCGAGAAGAAGGCGGUUAUACCCCUUGUGAUCGUGUCGGCCCUGACUUUUAUCUGUCUAGUGGUUCUUGUGGGUAUUCUCAUCUACUGGAGGAAAUGUUUCCAGACCGCACAUUUUUAUUUAGAGGACAGUACGUCCCCUCGAGUAAUAUCCACACCUCCAACACCUAUCUUUCCAAUUUCAGAUGAUGUUGGAUCAAUUCCAAUAAAGCACUUUCCAAAGCAUGUUGCAGACUUACAUGCAAGUAGUGGGUUUACUGAAGAAUUUGAGGAGGUACAGAGCUGUACUGUUGAUUUAGGUAUCACAGCAGACAGCUCCAAUCACCCCGACAAUAAGCACAAGAACCGAUACAUAAAUAUUGUUGCCUAUGAUCAUAGUAGAGUUAAACUCGCACAACUUGCUGAGAAGGAUGGCAAACUGACUGAUUAUAUCAAUGCCAAUUAUGUUGAUGGCUACAACAGACCAAAAGCUUACAUUGCUGCCCAAGGCCCACUGAAAUCCACCGCCGAAGACUUCUGGAGAAUGAUAUGGGAGCAUAAUGUGGAAGUUAUUGUCAUGAUAACGAACCUUGUGGAGAAAGGAAGGAGAAAGUGUGACCAGUACUGGCCUGUGGAUGGCAGUGAAGAGUAUGGGAACUUUCUGGUCACUCAAAAGAGUAUUCAAGUGCUUGCUUAUUAUACUGUGAGGAAUUUUACUCUAAGAAACACAAAGAUCAAAAAGGGUUCCCAAAAAGGAAGACCCAGUGGGCGCGUGGUUACCCAGUACCACUACACUCAGUGGCCUGACAUGGGGGUGCCCGAGUACUCCCUGCCAGUGCUAACCUUUGUGAGAAAGGCCUCGCAUGCCAAGCGCCACGCAGUAGGGCCUGUUGUUGUCCACUGCAGUGCUGGAGUUGGAAGAACGGGCACGUACAUCGUGCUAGACAGUAUGCUGCAGCAAAUUCAACAUGAAGGAACCGUCAACGUAUUUGGCUUUUUAAAACACAUUCGUUCACAAAGAAAUUACUUGGUGCAAACUGAGGAACAGUAUGUCUUCAUUCAUGAUGCACUGGUCGAGGCCAUACUCAGUAAAGAAACUGAGGUCCCGGACAGCCACAUCCAUGCCUAUGUUAACGGGCUCCUCAUUCCUGGACCAACGGGCAAAACAAAGCUAGAGAAGCAAUUCAAGGUGAGUUCUCUUCAAAGUCCCUCUCUUGGGUGUCACCAUGGGUUGGCGUGUUCCCGCAUCUCCUCAUUUGAGUGGACAAGGCCACGAGGACAGGCUGGGUGCUCUGUUGGCCCAGUGCUCUUGAGUCAAUCAAAUAUACAGCAGAGUGACUAUUCUACAGCCCUAAAGCAAUGCAACAGAGAAAAGAACAGAACGUCUUCCAUCAUCCCUGUGGAAAGAUCCAGGGUUGGCAUUUCAUCCCUGAGUGGAGAAGGUGCAGACUACAUCAAUGCCUCCUACAUCAUGGGUUAUUAUCAGAGCAAUGAAUUCAUCAUCACCCAGCAUCCCCUUCUCCACACCAUCAAGGAUUUCUGGAGGAUGAUAUGGGACCAUAAUGCCCAGCUGGUUGUUAUGCUUCCAGAUGGUCAAAACAUGGCAGAAGAUGAAUUUGUUUACUGGCCAAAUAAAGAUGAGCCUAUAAAUUGUGAGAGUUUUAAGGUCACUCUUAUGGCCGAGGAACACAAAUGUCUGUCUAAUGAGGAGAAACUUAUAAUGCAAGAUUUUAUCCUAGAAGCUACACAGGAUGACUAUGUACUUGAAGUGCGGCACUUUCAGUGCCCCAAAUGGCCAAAUCCAGACAGCCCCAUUAGUAAAACUUUUGAACUUAUAAGUAUUAUCAAAGAAGAAGCCGCCACCAGGGAUGGGCCCAUGAUUGUUCAUGAUGAGCACGGAGGAGUGACAGCUGGAACCUUCUGUGCUCUGACGACCCUGAUGCACCAACUCGAAAAAGAAAAUUCCGUGGAUGUGUACCAGGUAGCCAAGAUGAUCAAUUUGAUGAGGCCGGGAGUCUUUGCCGACAUUGAGCAGUAUCAGUUUCUCUACAAAGCAGUCCUCAGCCUUGUGAGCACAAGGCAGGAAGAGAACCCGUCCACCUCUCUGGACAGUAACGGCGCGGCAUUGGCUGAUGGAAAUAUAGCCGAGAGCUUAGAGUCUUUAGUUUGACGUGGAAAGGGGUGAGAAGAGCCCACAUGUACUGCUUCCCUCUUUCUAAAAUUAGACUGGAAAAUCAGUUCCGUUCUGUUAUCUGUUUACUUCACAUCACCUGACAGUUACUACCAUGACAUAGGAUUCUGCUGCCAAAUUUACAUCAUUAACAAUGUGUGCCUUUUUUGCAAAACUUCUUGUAAUUCACUUAUUGUGUUUAAACUAAAAUGAUUGAAAUUUACAGUAUUUCUAAGAAUGGAAUUGUGGUAUCUUUUUUUCAUAUUGAUUUUAACAGAAAAUUUCAAUUUACAGAUACUAGGAAUUCCCAACUAGAAUUCCCAAACAGAAAACAUGUUUGUUUUUAGUGUCAAAUUUUUAGCUGUAUUUGUAGCAAUCAUCAAGUUUGCUAGAAAUAUAACUUUUAAUAUAGUAUACUGUAAAUAAAACACCCUGUUCCCUACGAUAUUCA
ensembl:lncRNA